rnacentral:misc_RNA from 1 species
GAUGAAGAACGGAGCGAAAUGCGAUACUUGGUGUGAAUUGCAGAAUCCCGUGAACCAUCGAGUCUUUGAACGCAAGUUGCGCCCGAAGCCAUUAGGCCGAGGGCACGCCUGCCUGGGCGUCACACGUCGUUGCCCCCCCAUCUACUCCUUCGGGAUUGCGGGGGGCGGAUGAUGGCCUCCCGUGCGCCUCGUCGCGCGGUUGGCAUAAAUGCCAAGUCCUCGGCGACGCACGCCACGACAAUCGGUGGUUGCGAAACCUCGGUUGCCCGUCGUGUGCGGUCGUCGCGCAUCGAGGGCUCGAAAAAAUUGCCGGGCUCCGGCUCGGCUUUCAACGCGACCCCAGGUCAGGCGGGGUUACCCGCUGAAUUUAAGCAUAUCAAUAAGCGGAGGA